rnacentral:lncRNA from 1 species
CUGGCUCUUAGGAUCCCCAUUGCAGGGCGGGGAGGCACCCACCGCGAGGGGGAGACUGAGAGCCAGUCCCUCCCACCCCCGGCUCUUAGGACUCGCAUCGCAAGCGGGGGAGGCACGCCACGCGAGGCGGGGACUGAGAGCCAGCCCCCCUUCCCCCCGGGCUUAGGACCCCCAUCGCGGUUCCUAAGAUCCUUAGGACCCACCUGGAGGACUGUGGGUAUGGGGUGUCCAAGAAGAAAGCUCAGAUCUGCCCACGGCAGGUACCUUACUUGGGAUUUACAAUCGACAGGGGUCCGAACGCAGCCCGGGAAAAGAAAGAAAGCAGGUCAUUUACAAUCUACCGGAGCCAGCCCGUCUUCCCCUCGCUUGCUCUUAGGUCCCCCAUCGCAGUGGGGGGAGGCACUCCCCGCGAGGCGAGGACUGAGAACCAGCCCCUCUUCCCUCCCUGGUUCUUAGGACCCCCAUCGCAGGGACGGAGGCACCCGCAGCGAGGCGGGGACUGAGAGCCUGCCCCUCUUACCCCCCUGGCUCUUAGGACCCCCAUCGCAGGAGUCGGAGGCACCCCCCGCGAGGCGGGGACUGAGAGAGAGCUCCUCUUCCCCCCCAGGAUCUUAGGACCCCCAUCGCGGGGGGGGAGGCACUCCCGCCAGGAUCCCCAUCGCAAGGGGGGAAGACACCGCCCACGAGUCGGGGACUGAGAGCCAGCCCCUCUUCCCCCGCUGGCUUAGGACCCCCACCGCGGAUUCUAAGAUCCUUAGCACCCACCUGGAGGACUGGGGGUUUUAGGUGUCCAAGAAGAAAGCUCAGACCUGCCGACCGCAGGACCUCCAUCGCAGCGGGGCAGGCACACACCGCGAGGCGGGAACUGAGAGCCAGCCCCUCCCACCUCUGGCUCUUAGGACUCACAUUGCAAGUGGGGGAGGCAUCCUCCGCGAGGCGCGGACUGAGAGCCAGCCCCUCUUCCCCCCCUGGCUCUAGGGACCCCCAUCGCAGGGGGUGGAGGCACCCCACGCGAUUCGGGGACUGAGAGCCAGCCCCUCUCCUUCCCCCUGCUCUUCGGACCCCCAUCGCAGGGCGGGGAGGCACCCACCGCGAGGCGGGGACUGAGAGCCAGCCCCUCUACCCCCCGUGGCUCUUAGGAGCCCCAUCGCAGGGUGGGAGGCCACCCGGCGAGGCGAGGAUUGAGAGCCAGCCCGUCUUCCCCCCUUGGCUCUUAGGAGCCCCAUCGCGGGUGGGGAAGGCACCCCCCGCGAGGCAGGGACUGAGAGCCAGCCUCUCUUCCUCCCGUGGCUCUUAGGACCCCCAUCGCAGUGGGGGGAGGCACCCCCCGCGAGGCGGGGACUGAGAGCAAGCCCAUUUCCCCCCCCCCCGGCUCUUAGGACACCCAACGCAGAGGGGGGAGGCACCCCCUGCGAGGCAGGAACUGAGAGCCAGACCCACUUCUCCCCGGCUCUUGGGAUCCCCAUCGCGGGGAGGGGAGGCACCCCACACGAGGCGGGGACUGAGAGCCAGCCCCUCUUCCCCCCCUGGCUAUUAGGACCCCCAUCGCAGGGGGGAGAGGCACCCCCCGAGAGGCAGGGACGGAGAGCCUGCACCUCUUCCCCCACGGGCUCUUAGGACCCCCAUCGCAGGCGCUUCGCACCCCACGCGAGGCGGGUACUGAGAGCCAGCUCCUCUUUCCCCCGUCUCUUAGGACUGCCAUCGCAGAGGGGGAGGUAACCCCCGCCAGGCAGGGACUGACAGCCAGCCCCUCUUCACCUCUGGCUCUUAGGCCCCCAUCGCAGAGUGGGGAGGCACCACAUGCGAGGCGGGGACUGCGAGCCAGCCCCACUUCCCCCCUGGCUCUUGGGACCACCAUCGCAGUGGGGGGAGGUACACCCCGCGAGGCGGGGACGGAGAGUCAGCCCCUCUUCCCCCACUGGCUCUUGGGAACCCCAUCGCAAGGGGGAGAGGCACCCUCCGCGACGCGGGGACUGAGAGACAGCCCCUCUUCCCCCCCUGGCUCUAGGGACCCCCAUCGCAGGGGGUGGAGGCACCCCACGCGAUGCGGGGACUGAGAGCCAGCCCCUCUCCGCCCCCCCCGACCCCGCCCGGGUCUUCGGACCCCCAUCGCAGUGGGGGGAGGCACCCCAUGCGAGGCGGGGUCUGACAGCCAAACCCUCUUCCCCCUCUGGCUCUUAUGACCCCCAUAGCAAGGGGGGAGGCACCCCCCGCGAGGCGGGGACUAGAGCCAGCCCCUCUUCCCACCCUGGCUUAGGACCCCCAUCGCGGAUCCUAAGAUCCUUAGGACCCAACUGGAGGACUGUGGGUAUUAGGUGCCCAAGAAGAAAGCUCAGAUCUGCCGACGUUACUUGGGAUUUACUAUCCGACAGGUGUCCGAACACAGCUCGAGAUCAGAAAGAAAGCAGGGGUCCGAACGCAGCCCGGGAUCAGGAAGAAAGCAGGUCGUUUGCAAUCUACCGGAGCCUAAGGGCAGAAGGCAGGAUCGUGGGAACAAUAUCCCAGGGGGGUUUCCACUUUCUGCCAUAUAUGUAGUCACAUCGCCCACUCCGCCUUGGAAUAUUAUUAAGGACCAUCUAACACGAGGGUGUAUACGUCCUGCGAUAUUACGAGUAAUAUCAACUUCUUGGCCUCUGAAUAUGAGGAAGAAUAUCACAGGGGGUCCGAAUGCAGCCCGGGAUCACAAAGAAAGCAGGUCGUUUGCAAUCUACCAGAGCCUAAGGGCAGAAGGCAGGAUCGUGGGAACAAUAUCCCAUGGGGGUGUACCCUUUCUGCCAUAUAUGUAGUCACAUCACCCACUCCGCCUUGGAAUAUUAUUAAGGACCAUCUAACACGAGGGUGUAUACGUCCUGUGAUAUUGGGAGUAAUAUCAACUUCUCGGCCUCUGAAUAUGAGGAAGAAUAUCACAGGGAUAUUAAUAACAAUUUCACAGGCUGGGUGAACACAGCCGGCGAUGCUGAAAUUAUUAUCAUCCUCUCCCCCUCUUCCCCUCCUGGCUCUCAGUCCCCGCCUCACGGGUUAUGUAGCGGGUUAUGGCAAGAAGACAAACUGCAGUUUCCUGCACAGAACAGCACAAACAAUGAUCCAAGCUCAGUUACAACACAAUAUUGGUCAUCAUUUGACCAUGGACUUCAAUAUCAACCCUUAGAAACCUUCCUAAAACAGGUCAGCAAAACACCAAGAAGCAAUAUCCUGAAUGAUAGGAAAAUAUCCUUGCUUGUGCAAAUUGUUUCCACUUAAUUUUUUUCAACAAAUGUUAAUUAUAUUUUUACUUUCUAAAAAUUUUUAAUAAAAUAUAGCCUACUUGGUUAAAAAUGGUGUCAAAGCUUUU